GGGGGGCUGGCGCAACGGUAGCGCGUCAGAUUCCAGUAGAAUUGGGGAGUCCUGAAGGUUAUCGGUUCGAAUCCGAUGUCCCUCA